rnacentral:rRNA from 1 species
AUUGAACGCUGGCGGCAGGCUUAACACAUGCAAGUCGAGCGGGGGAAGGUAGCUUGCUACCGGACCUAGCGGCGGACGGGUGAGUAAUGCUUAGGAAUCUGCCUAUUAGUGGGGGACAACAUCUCGAAAGGGAUGCUAAUACCGCAUACGUCCUACGGGAGAAAGCAGGGGAUCUUCGGACCUUGCGCUAAUAGAUGAGCCUAAGUCGGAUUAGCUAGUUGGUGGGGUAAAGGCCUACCAAGGCGACGAUCUGUAGCGGGUCUGAGAGGAUGAUCCGCCACACUGGGACUGAGACACGGCCCAGACUCCUACGGGAGGCAGCAGUGGGGAAUAUUGGACAAUGGGGGGAACCCUGAUCCAGCCAUGCCGCGUGUGUGAAGAAGGCCUUAUGGUUGUAAAGCACUUUAAGCGAGGAGGAGGCUACUUUAGUUAAUACCUAGAGAUAGUGGACGUUACUCGCAGAAUAAGCACCGGCUAACUCUGUGCCAGCAGCCGCCGUAA